AUGGAGACUUCAAGAUCCAGAGUGGGUGAAUUGAAAGAUGGGAGCAGGAAGAAGGGAAAUGGGUUGAAUGGACAGAAGGUACGGGAUAAUGACAACGUUUACGAGCUAGAACUGAAAAUAAGGAUGGGGUAUGGCUGGACUGGAAGCACGGGUGGAAAGAAUGAAAGGGGAACAGAAAAGCAAGGUUUUGGGGGCAGUUCGAAACCAGGAUCUGGGCACCGUUCUAGGGUUAUUUUGCCUGAAAAAGCUCAGCCUGUUUCAAGCACCAGCACCAGUGGAAUAUCAGUAAGCGACUACCUAGUACUUCUAAAGUCACUUCGAAUUGACUUGCCCAAUGGUGUACUGAACCAGAAAGUCAUCAGGCUCUCAGAGAAUGCAGGCAUCAUUCAGAAAGCCCAGGAUGUUGUAAAAGAACUGGAAGACUUCAAGCUUCAGUUUAGUAGCAUUCCACGUCUCGGCUGCCGGGAGCUAAAGAACUCACUGCCAUUGAAAGACAAUGGAAAAAUUCUUGAACUCACAGUGAUGAUUUUCUUUGAAAAAAGAAAAGAUUCAGUGGAAGCUCUAAGAUCACAGUGGAGAAAGAAUGUAUCAAACGCGAGUUGGGGAUUCAGGUUCAGGGACAAAUACCAGACAAAAGCUAUCUCCACACCCACGAUGUAUGCUACAACACAGACAAGGAGCUGGAGACAUUUAGAAGUUGGGGACAAUCUUGCAAAUAUUUCUGUCGGUGUGACAGUGAAUGUCCGUGACAUUGAGAACAGAGAUUAUGCUGACGAAUCAGCUCUCUGGACAACCUCCUCUUCACAAAAGUUCGGCAAAUAUUUCCAUAACCCAGGAGAUGAACUUGAAUGCCUCAAGUUCUACCAUGAGCUGCGAGAAACUGGUACAAACAUGAGAGUGAGGUACACCAAAGGUAACAAAUUAGACUUUGGGUUCCUCUCUGGAAGACUGGACUUCUUAGCAGAAGUAAAAGGGGAAAAAAGUGAAAAAAUGGUGAUUGAGUGUAAAGGAACCACUGGAGAUAUGGUGGGCAAAGUCUUCACUAAACCAAAAAAUGGUGGUCGUCUUGCACACCUGAAUGAAACACACGAGAACUAUUAUCAAGUUCAGGCCUACAUGUACAUCCUAAACAGGGCAGCAAAACAAACACAAGGCUUCACCUCUGACAGGGCUGUAAUGGUGGUCAGACACUACCACAAGAAUGGACGAGAACCCAGAGAUUUCUACUGGAAUUACCUGAGAAAGAAUGAAGCAAUACAGCAGAAAAUUGAUGAACUGCGUGUUUUCUGUGAAGAAGAGGUUCUGGCCUGUUUCCUGGCUGUUCUCAAUCUGAUCUUCCAGAAAGACACAUAA
ensembl:lncRNA